UUUCCGUAGGUGAACCUGCGGAAGGAUCAUUAUUGUAUAACCGAGGUGCGAGGGCUGUCGCUGACCCGAAAGGUCGUGCACGCCCGCGUGCCCUCACACACAUCCAUCUCACCCCUAUGUGCACCACCGCGUGGGUCCCCCUUUGGCUUGUUCGGAGGGGGGCUUACGUUUUUACACAAACUUUGUAUGCAGUGUAGAAUGUAUUUUUGUUUUUGCGAUCACGCAAUCAAUACAACUUUCAACAACGGAUCUCUUGGCUCUC
rnacentral:misc_RNA from 1 species